rnacentral:rRNA from 1 species
AGCGAACGCUGGCGGCAGGCCUAACACAUGCAAGUCGAACGCCCCUUCGGGGGAGUGGCAGACGGGUGAGUAACACGUGGGAACGUACCCUUUGGUUCGGAAUAACUUGAGGAAACUUAAGCUAAUACCGGAUAAGCCCUUUUGGGGAAAGAUUUAUCGCCGAAGGAUCGGCCCGCGUCUGAUUAGCUUGUUGGUGAGGUAAUGGCUCACCAAGGCGACGAUCAGUAGCUGGUCUGAGAGGAUGAUCAGCCACACUGGGACUGAGACACGGCCCAGACUCCUACGGGAGGCAGCAGUGGGGAAUAUUGGACAAUGGGCGCAAGCCUGAUCCAGCCAUGCCGCGUGAGUGAUGACGGCCUUAGGGUUGUAAAGCUCUUUCGGCGGGGACGAUAAUGACGGUACCCGCAGAAGAAGCCCCGGCUAACUUCGUGCCAGCCGCCGCCGUAAAA